UCCAAAUUAUUAAUAGCUAUAUACUUUAAAUUUGAAGAAUUUGGCGGUAGUUUAGUCUUGUUAGAGGAACCUGUUUUUAAAUCGAUACACCACGUAAAAUCUUACUUAUUUUAUUUAGUUUGUAUACCGUCAUUAUCAGAUAAUCUUGAAAAAGAGAAUUAUUGUACUUUAAAUGUAAGAUAAAUUAGAUCAAGGUGCAGCUAAUAAAUAAGUUAAAAUGGGUUACAAUAAAAUUUAUUUAUAUGGAAUAAUUAGUGAAACAAAAUUAUAAAGGUGGAUUUAAUUGUAAUCAAGGUUUAACAAGCUGAGGAGAUAUAAGCUCUAAAUUAU
rnacentral:rRNA from 1 species